UUACGGCCAUAUCACGUGGAAACACCGGUUCUCGUACGAUCACCGAAGUUAAACAACGUCGAGCCUGGUCAGUACCUAGAUGGGUGACCGUUUGUGAAUACCAGUUGAUGUAAG